rnacentral:rRNA from 1 species
UACGUAGGUGGCAAGCGUUGUCCGGAAUUAUUGGGCGUAAAGCGCGCGCAGGCGGCCCUUUAAGUCUGAUGUGAAAGCCCACGGCUCAACCGUGGAGGGUCAUUGGAAACUGGGGGACUUGAGUGCAGGAGAGAAGAGUGGAAUUCCACGUGUAGCGGUGAAAUGCGUAGAGAUGUGGAGGAACACCUGUGGCGAAGGCGGCCAUCUGGACGUCAACUGACGCUGAGACGCGAAAGCAUGGGGAGCAAACAGG